GACGAACGCUGGCGGCGUGCUUAACACAUGCAAGUCGAACGGAAAGGCCCUGCUUGCAGGGUACUCGAGUGGCGAACGGGUGAGUAACACGUGGGUGAUCUGCCCUGCACUUCGGGAUAAGCUUGGGAAACUGGGUCUAAUACCGGAUAGGAGCCAUCUUUAGUGUGGUGGUUGGAAAGUUUUUUCGGUGUAGGAUGAGCUCGCGGCCUAUCAGCUUGUUGGUGGGGUAAUGGCCUACCAAGGCGGCGACGGGUAGCCGGCCUGAGAGGGUGUACGGCCACAUUGGGACGGAGAUACGGCCCAGACUCCUACGGGAGGCAGCAGUGGGGAAUAUUGCACAAUGGGCGCAAGCCUGAUGCAGCGACGCCGCGUGGGGGAUGAAGGCCUUCGGGUUGUAAACUCCUUUCGCUAGGGACGAAGCUUUUUUGUGACGGUACCUAGAGAAGAAGCACCGGCUAACUACGUG
rnacentral:rRNA from 1 species